rnacentral:lncRNA from 1 species
AACCAGGAUUGAGUUGCCCAGGUGCAUAUCCGAUCAAAGAUAACAUCUUUUGCAACCACAGAUGUAAAGGUAGUCUCACCCCUAAAGUCAGUAAUAUCUGGGUGUAGAACAUAACAUGAUCCUGGGGAGGCUCAGAAGGCCAUUCUUCAUCAGGUACCAAACGUAUCCCUACACUACGAGGGAUAUUACAUGACUGCCUUAGCGCUUCAACCUGCUUCUCAUUAUUUAACAAGUUAUU